GCUUCUGAGAGGAGAGCAUCUUCUAGGAUCAUGUAGUCGGAGAUUAAAAAGAGUUCUACUUUUUCCUUUCCAACCUGGAAGCCUUUUAUUGCAAUUUCUUAUCUGACUGUACUGUCUGAUAUCUCCAGUGCAAGGUUGAAUAAAAGUAGUGAAAACAGACAUUGUUACUUUGCUACCAAAAUUAUAGGCAAAGCAUUCAGUCUUUUGAAGCUUUCAUGUUUAAGUUCUUCAGUUUUUGGACUCUUGGACUUAAACCAGUGAUUUGCCAGGGGCUCUUGGACCUUCGGCCACAGACUGAAGGCUGCACUGUCAACUUCCCUACUUUUGAUGUUUUGGGACUCAGACUGGCUUCCUGGCUCCUCAGCUUGCAGAAGACCUAUUGUGGGACUUUACCUUGUGUUUGUUAGACUGGAGCCUCUAAGAGAUGCUUAAUUUCCACUGUAUCCUAAGAGCUCCAUAAACU
rnacentral:lncRNA from 1 species